rfam:Daucus carota subsp. sativus cultivar DH1 chromosome 1, whole genome shotgun sequence.
GGGGAGCAUCUCUAGUCUUAGAUGUUGCCUGAUAGAAGCUUCCUAUAAAAAUUUCUGUAAUUUCCUGCUUGUGUCUUUUAAGAAAAUUCACAGGCCUCUAGUUACAAGAUACAAUG